AUUGAACGCUGGCGGCAUGCUUUACACAUGCAAGUCGAACGGUAACAGGCCUUCGGGCGCUGACGAGUGGCGAACGGGUGAGUAAUACAUCGGAACGUGCCCGAGAGUGGGGGAUAACGGAGCGAAAGCUUUGCUAAUACCGCAUACGAUCUACGGAUGAAAGCAGGGGACCGCAAGGCCUUGCGCUCAUGGAGCGGCUGAUGGCAGAUUAGGUAGUUGGUGGGAUAAAAGCUUACCAAGCCGACGAUCUGUAGCUGGUCUGAGAGGACGACCAGCCACACUGGGACUGAGACACGGCCCAGACUCCUACGGGAGGCAGCAGUGGGGAAUUUUGGACAAUGGGCGCAAGCCUGAUCCAGCCAUGCCGCGUGCAGGAUGAAGGCCUUCGGGUUGUAAACUGCUUUUGUACGGAACGAAAAGCCUCUUUCGAAUAAAGAGAGGUCAUGACGGUACCGUAAGAAUAAGCACCGGCUAACUACGUGCCAGCCGCCGCCGUAAUAC
rnacentral:rRNA from 1 species